rnacentral:misc_RNA from 1 species
UACGUAGGGCGCAAGCGUUAUCCGGAAUUAUUGGGCGUAAAGAGCUCGUAGGUGGUUCGUCACGUCGGAUGUGAAAAUCUGGGGCUUAACCCCAGACCUGCAUUCGAUACGGGCGAGCUAGAGUGUGGUAGGGGAGACUGGAAUUCCUGGUGUAGCGGUGGAAUGCGCAGAUAUCAGGAGGAACACCAAUGGCGAAGGCAGGUCUCUGGGCCAUUACUGACACUGAGGAGCGAAAGCGUGGGGAGCAAACAGG